rnacentral:rRNA from 1 species
UACAGAGGUCCCGAGCGUUGUUCGGAUUCACUGGGCGUAAAGGGCGCGUAGGUGGCUUGGCAAGUUUGGCGUGAAAUCUCCGGGCUUAACCCGGAAAUGGCGUUGAAUACUGUUUGAGCUGGAGGUUUGGAGGGGGGACUGGAAUUCUUGGUGUAGCAGUGAAAUGCGUAGAUAUCGUAAGGAAGACCAGUGGCGAAGGCGGGUCUCUGGACAGUUCCUGACGCUGAGGCACGAAGGUCAGGGGAGCAAACGGG